UGUUUUUUGUGGUCAAGGUUAAGCCACAUCAACAUUUUAUAUUAUUUUUUUAUAGAGAUAAUAAGAUAAAAAUGAAUAGUAAUAUAAAAUGUUGACGUGAUUUUGUGACCACACAAACAAUAAGGCACAGGAGGGCACUAGAAGUGGGAAGGCGGACAAUCCUUGUCCUAUACUAUUACAAUCACUUAUUAACAUUCAUAUAUAAUGACAGAGACAUCAACCGUCAAUAAGUAAUUACAUUAAGGUUUUGUUUGGCAGUUCAGACUGUAUUGAUUAUUUCUGUCUGAUAAGAUAAAUAACCACCAUAUAGUACUGAUUAAAUUAAUCAGACGUUUGAUGCAGUAUCGGACUAACGACGUAUUAUUUAUACUGUGUUUAAUACUAUUGUUAAUUUUAUUAAUGAGAAAAAAGGACCAAAAAAAAAAAAAAAACAAAAACAAAAUUGUGAUGAUAUAUUCUGCCUCCAAACUAUUAUCUUCUUUUAAACUUCCUUAUUAACAUGUUUCAAAAAUUUUAUAAACAAAAAGAAAAAAAACAGCGCCCUUGUCCCUUCAUCCCACACCCCAACAAACGCCAUCGCCACACCACCCUCAUUCAAUUCCGGUGACAAACACCAUACCCACCCCACCCUCAGUCAAUUCGUGAACACCUCAAUUGUGGAACAUGGCUUCUCGCCACCGCAUCUUCCCCAACCCAGUAAACCGAACAAAGUUGCUCACAAUUUUGCAUUUCCAAAUCGAAAAAAGCUCUAAACACAAAAUGCUGGUUAACUCUGUAAAACCCUUUUCUGGAGGAUGAAGUCUGUAAGACCCUUUUCUGGAGGACGAAACGAAGCCAAUGCAAAGACAUAGAACCUGCUCCAUCAUCACGUUCACCAUCCUCCUCAGAUCUACAAUCAGGGCAUCAGUUCGUUGGUGAUACGGUCGUCGGUGAGGCAUCGGCUGGUCUUCAGCAAUGCAUUGUGGUUCGCUACGGACACGGCGUCGAGAGUCGGUGUUGGGUGCGGUGGAUUGAGGGAACGGAGAGAGCGAGCAAUUUCCUACCCGACUAAAUAAUACUGAGGUUUUAGAGUGUAUUUUUUUUGGAGUGAAACGAUGCGUGAAUAAGUUAGACGUUAGAUUAGUAAUUGGUGGGUUUGAACCCAUGCCGCCGUUAUGUAAGGGUAUAACACCUUUACACAUCUAUGGUAAAUGGUCAUUUGUAGGUUUUAGAAUGUAUAGUAUAUGAGCACACACAAAGGGUGCGAAAUUUUUUUUUAUUUUAUUUUUUGAAGUAGGAGAGAGAAAGAGAAUGAUAGAGAAUGUGGGAGUGUGAAAUUUUGUUUUGUAUUGUUUUUUUUUUUAAUUAAUUAAAGAUAUGUUAAGAUUACAUGUAGAUGAGAUUUUGAAAAAAAAAAAAAUUUGAUUGUGUAAAAUUACAUUUUUGUCAUAUAUUUUUUAUUCAUAUUCUAUUUAAUUAGAACGUUGAAUUGGUAAUUUUAGAGGAUUUUGAUUGAGAAUAAAUUAGUAAAGAUUAGUUAUACGCGUGAGCUGUCUAUAAUAAGUGGGGCCAGGACAAUUAAUCCGGAGUCUAUGUAUUACGAAACUGCAGCAAACAACCAGAUUGGUAUAAUUAUUCAUAUGCGGUCCUUUAUACGAUGUGCCAAAUAAGUAUUUCAAUGUACUAUAGCAGCCUCGAAAAUUGGGAGAAAACAUCAAAAUUGUAAGGUGGAGGCCCAAAUCUCAUUGUAAGCCCGCGUUAACAAGGCCGUCGGACACAUUUUGAUUACUCUGUUUUGACGACCAAGCAACAAGAAGGGCGUCAGAGCGGCUGAUUUUGUAUCAAACCUGACGAUCGUAUUUGGAAGCUCUCAUUUUGUCGUCGGCUUUGCUUUAAUCUCUAUUAUCGGAGGAGAUGAAGAAAGGGAUGCACCCUCAGAUGCAAUGGAUAUCGUACGUGACACAGAGUGGGAGAUUGAUGCAGGUUAUGAUGCCCAAGAUCCACCACGCUGGUAAAGUCUACCACUUGAAGGCGAAACGCCAAAUGGCUGAGCAUAUGAGCCAGAUGGCCAAGUUUAGGCAGCGUUACGAGAAGCAGAUUGCUCCGAGAGAUAAACCGUGAUUGCUAAGUCAACGUGCCUAUGGAUUCAAAAGGUUUGGAUUCUUUGACAACUUUGUUUCGGAAUAAAGAUGAACUUGCUUUGUGAGAUUUUAAGCACUUGUGCUUUGCCACUCUAUGUUUUGUUUAACUUGGAGAAAAGUUGAAGUUUCUGUUUAAGUCAAAGGGAAAAGUUGAUAAAAGUCUUUCAUGCUAAUCACUGUUGAUAUUCUAUCAGAAGUAGAAUUAAUCUGGAUUUGGGGUUAGAGUUGUUCCUUUUCUUCGCCAUUUAUGCAAUUCUAAUUCAACGUUA